CUUUAAUGGAACUGUAUUUACCCUUCUCUCUUUGCUCCUUAUUACAGUAGCCAUCAAUAUUCUUGAAGAUAUGAUCUCUGUCUUGAAAGUUUGAUUUCCGUUAGCAAAUGCCUGAAGCUACACACACUUAACAAGAAACAUUCCUCUCAGGCAACGAAGCGGGAGAGUGCAGUGUUGACUUGAUUAAAAUAGUAACAAAGCAUAGGAGCUAUCUAUGCCUAGCGAAACGGAACUGUAACACAGUGCUGAUCAUCGCUGCCGCUGGCCACAUUCUCCGGCCGAGAGGCCUUGGCAGCAUUUCUUUAAGAUAAUCCCUCCUAGUACCAUGGAAGAAAAGAAGCUGAAGGGAAGAGAAGAGAAAGGAAAGGAAAUCCUUCCAAGCAGCGCCAGACGCACGCUUAUUUUAAGCCCUUUCUCCAGCUUUCUGGUCCACUGGAUCAUUCCCACAACUCACUACUGAAUCAAUGGCUCACAGGAGGGGAGAGGGAUCAUCCAGUGGAAUUGCUUGUCCAGCUGAGGCACCGUCGAGGCGCUUUUUCAAAGUAGUCCAUGAGGAUGCUCUCAAAGACAAGAAAAUGAUGAUUCCACCAAAAUUUGCAAGAAAUUUUGGAGCUGAAUUUCCUGAUGAGGCCAACCUAAUUGUCCCCAGUGGUGAUGUUUGGAAAGUGGGAUUAACAAAAUCCCAGAACAACGUUUUGUUUGAUAAGAAUUGGCUUGAAUUUGUUCAACAUUACUCAAUAGGUCAUGGGCAUUUUCUUGUAUUCCAAUACAAAGGUUUGUCAAAUUUCAAAGUCCGCAUAUAUGAUACAACUUGCUGUGAGAUUCAAUAUUCACCUGUUGAGACGUUGAAUUCUACAAAUACAACUCCAAGCCCAUCUUGCUCUUUGAAGAACAGAAUUAAGGUUGAAAGCACAAAUGAAGGGGAUUGCAGCAAGAGGCCAACUCAGUCAAAGCAGAAUCAGGGACAAAACAAAUGCGGAAAAAGGGUUGCUUCUCCUGAGACCCCAAUUCUGGAGCACCACAGUAGGCCAAGAAGUGAAAAUGGUAAAGCUGAAAAUGCAAAGAUGACGAAUGACAUAUUUGCUACUGGGUUUGGAAAGCUAUUCUCAAUAAGUGAAAGCGCACGCCAUUCUUCCAGAAAGUUUAAGUCUGAAAGUCCCUGCUUCGAUGUUACAUUGCGAGAUUACAAUUUCACUGGCAAUUAUGUGGUAAGCCUAUUGAUAAGUCAGUAUGUUCAAGACUUUUGUCGAUUAAUUCAUCUUGUUUUAUGCAGUAUGUAAAAUCUUCAUUUUCUAAACAACAUCUGACUCCAAAACCUGAGUACAUUAAACUUCAACUUGAUGACGGAAGAGAGUGGAGAGUUCAACUGAAUGAACGGCGAAAUAAACGAAUGACUUUGGGAAAAGGAUGGCUUGCAUUUUCAAGAGAAAAUUAUCUGAAAAGUGGAGAUAUCUGCUAUUUUGAGCUUAUGAAGAUCAAUGAGCUGAAAGUUACUAUAUUUAGAGCUUGAAAAAGAGUAAUUAUUUGAGAAAUUUUUGCUUAGGCCUAGUUCAUCAUAGUCUUAAUACAAACAUUGAGACCAAUGGAUUUAAUAAGUGAGUUUCAUUGUACAUUUUAUAUCUUGAAUCCAUAGUGAAUUGAGUUUAGGCAAGAAAAAUCUG
rnacentral:misc_RNA from 1 species